rnacentral:rRNA from 1 species
UACGGGAGGCAGCAGUGGGGAAUAUUGCACAAUGGGCGCAAGCCUGAUGCAGCCAUGCCGCGUGUAUGAAGAAGGCCUUCGGGUUGUAAAGUACUUUCAGUCGUGAGGAAGGUGUUAAGGUUAAUAACCUUAGCAAUUGACGUUAGCGACAGAAGAAGCACCGGCUAACUCCGUGCCAGCAGCCGCGGUAAUACGGAGGGUGCGAGCGUUAAUCGGAAUUACUGGGCGUAAAGGGCACGCAGGCGGUUAAUUAAGUUGGAUGUGGAAUCCCCGGGCUUAACCUGGGAAUGGCAUUCAAGACUGGUUAGCUAGAGUCUUGGUAGAGGGGGUAGAAUUCCAUGUGUAGCGGUGAAAUGCGUAGAGAUGUGGAGGAAUACCGGUGGCGAAGGCGGCCCCUGGACAAAGACUGACGCUCAUGUGCGAAAGCGUGGGGAGCAAACAGGGAUUAGAUACC